GGGAGCAAACAGGAUUAGAUACCCUGGUAGUCCACGCCGUAAACGAUGUCUACUUGGAGGUUGUGCCCUUGAGGCGUGGCUUCCGGAGCUAACGCGUUAAGUAGACCGCCUGGGGAGUACGGCCGCAAGGUUAAAACUCAAAUGAAUUGACGGGGGCCCGCACAAGCGGUGGAGCAUGUGGUUUAAUUCGAUGCAACGCGAAGAACCUUACCUGGUCUUGACAUCCACRGAASWWUYCAGAGAUGGAUUKGUGCCUUCGGGAACYGUGAGACAGGUGCUGCAUGGCUGUCGUCAGCUCGUGUUGUGAAAUGUUGGGUUAAGUCCCGCAACGAGCGCAACCCUUAUCCUUUGUUGCCAGCGRUYMGGYCGGGAACUCAAAGGAGACUGCCAGUGAUAAACUGGAGGAAGGUGGGGAUGACGUCAAGUCAUCAUGGCCCUUACGACCAGGGCUACACACGUGCUACAAUGGCGCAUACAAAGAGAAGCGACCUCGCGAGAGCAAGCGGAUCUCAUAAAGUGCGUCGUAGUCCGGAUUGGAGUCUGCAACUCGACUCCAUGAAGUCGGAAUCGCUAGUAAUCGUGGAUCAGAAUGCCACGGUGAAUACGUUCCCGGGCCUUGUACACACCGCCCGUCACACCAUGGGAGUGGGUUGCAAAAGAAGUAGGUAGCUUAACCUUCGGGAGGGCGCUUACCACUUUGUGAUUCAUGACUGGGGUGAAGUCGUAACAAGGUAACCGUAGGGGAACCUGCGGUUGG
rnacentral:rRNA from 1 species